UACAGAGGUCUCAAGCGUUGUUCGGAAUCACUGGGCGUAAAGGGUGUGUAGGCGGUGUGCUAAGUCAGAUGUGAAAGCCCGGGGCUCAACCUCGGAACUGCAUCCGAUACUGGCAUGCUAGAGAAUUGGAGAGGAGUCUAGAAUUCACGGUGUAGCAGUGAAAUGCGUAGAUAUCGUGAGGAAUACCAAGUGCGAAGGCAGGACUCUGGACAUUUUUCUGACGCUGAGACACGAAGGCCAGGGGAGCAAACGGG
rnacentral:rRNA from 1 species